rnacentral:tRNA from 2 species
GGGCUUGUAGCUCAGCUGGUUAGAGCGCACGCUUGAUAAGCGUGAGGUCACUGGUUCGAAUCCAGUCAGGCCCA